CUUGGUCAUUUAGAGGAAGUAAAAGUCGUAACAAGGUCUCCGUUGGUGAACCAGCGGAGGGAUCAUUACAGAGUUGCAAAACUCCCAACCCUUUGUGAACGAACCUACCAGUUGCCUCGGCGGCGAGCCUUUCAGGCGGACCGCCGAAGGAAUACAAACUCUUUGCAUUAUAGUAUCUCUGAUUACUUAUUCAAUAAGUUAAAACUUUCAACAACGGAUCUCUUGGUUCUGGCAUCGAUGAAGAACGCAGCGAAAUGCGAUAAGUAAUGUGAAUUGCAGAAUUCAGUGAAUCAUCGAAUCUUUGAACGCACAUUGCGCCCGCUAGUAUUCUGGCGGGCAUGCCUGUUCGAGCGUCAUUUCAACCAUCAAGCCCUAGGCUUGUGUUGGAGCCCUGCAGCUGCCGCAGCCUCCUAAAAACAGUGGCGGGCUCGCUAUCACACCGAGUGCAGUAGUUUACUCUUCGCUCAGGGCGUGUGGCGGGUGCUGGCCGUGAAACCCCCUACUUUUUAAGGUUGACCUCGGAUCAGGUAGGAAUACCCGCUGAACUUAAGCAUAUCAAUAAGCGGAGGA
rnacentral:rRNA from 1 species